rnacentral:rRNA from 1 species
UACGAAGGGGGCUAGCGUUGUUCGGAUUUACUGGGCGUAAAGCGCACGUAGGCGGCCUGUUAAGUCGGACGUGAAAUCCCUCGGCUCAACCGGGGAACUGCGUCCGAUACUGGCAGGCUUGAAUUCGGGAGAGGGAUGUGGAAUUCCAGGUGUAGCGGUGAAAUGCGUAGAUAUCUGGAGGAACACCGGUGGCGAAGGCGGCAUCCUGGACCGACAUUGACGCUGAGGCGCGAAAGCCAGGGGAGCAAACGGG